CAGCAGCCACGGUAAUGCGUAGGUGGCAAGCGUUGUCCGGAAUUAUUGGGCGUAAAGGGCUCGCAGGCGGUUUCUUAAGUCUGAUGUGAAAGCCCCCGGCUCAACCGGGGAGGGUCAUUGGAAACUGGGAAACUUGAGUGCAGAAGAGGAGAGUGGAAUUCCACGUGUAGCGGUGAAAUGCGUAGAGAUGUGGAGGAACACCAGUGGCGAAGGCGACUCUCUGGUCUGUAACUGACGCUGAGGAGCGAAAGCGUGGGGAGCGAACAGGAUUAGAUACCCCAGUAGUCCUUGUCUCUUAUAC
rnacentral:rRNA from 1 species